UACGUAGGCAGCAAGCGUUGCUCGGAAUCACUGGGCGUAAAGGGUGCGUAGGCGGGUCUUUAAGUCAGGGGUGAAAUCCUGGAGCUCAACUCCAGAACUGCCUUUGAUACUGAGGAUCUUGAGUUCGGGAGAGGUGAGUGGAACUGCGAGUGUAGAGGUGAAAUUCGUAGAUAUUCGCAAGAACACCAGUGGCGAAGGCGGCUCACUGGCCCGAUACCGACGCUGAGGCACGAAAGCGUGGGGAGCAAACAGG
rnacentral:rRNA from 1 species